AGCGUAGGCGGUUGGAUAAGCCCUCCGUGAAAUCUCCAGGCUUAACCUGGAAAGUGCAGAGGGGACUGUUCAGCUAGAGGAUGGGAGAGGAGCGCGGAAUUCCCGGUGUAGCGGUGAAAUGCGUAGAGAUCGGGAGGAAGGCCGGUGGCGAAGGCGGCGCUCUGGAACAUUUCUGACGCUGAGGCUCGAAAGCGUGGGGAGCAAACAGGAUUAGAUACCCUGGUAGUCCACGCCUUAAACGAUGGAUACUAAGUGUCGGCGGGUUACCGCCGGUGCCGCAGCUAACGCAGUAAGUAUCCCGCCUGGGAAGUACGGCCGCAAGGUUGAA
rnacentral:rRNA from 1 species